GAGUUUGAUCGUGGCUCAGAACGAACGCUGGCGGCAUGCCUAACACAUGCAAGUCGAACGGGAUCCGGACUUCGGUCCGGUGAGAGUGGCGGACGGGUGAGUAACGCGUGGGAACCUGCCCAAUGGUCUGGGAUAACCGCGGGAAACUGCGGCUAAUACCGGAUAAGCCCGAGAGGGGAAAGAUUUAUCGCCGAUGGAGGGGCCCGCGUCCGAUUAGGUAGUUGGUGAGGUAACGGCUCACCAAGCCGACGAUCGGUAGCUGGUCUGAGAGGACGAUCAGCCACACUGGGACUGAGAUACGGCCCAGACUCCUACGGGAGGCAGCAGUGGGGAAUAUUGGACAAUGGGGGCAACCCUGAUCCAGCAAUGCCGCGUGAGUGAUGAAGGCCUUAGGGUUGUAAAGCUCUUUUGGCGGGUACGAUGAUGACGGUACCCGCAGAAUAA
rnacentral:rRNA from 1 species